rnacentral:rRNA from 1 species
UACGUAGGGUGCAAGCGUUGUCCGGAAUUAUUGGGCGUAAAGAGCUCGUAGGCGGUUUGUUGCGUCGGCUGUGAAAUCCCGAGGCUCAACCUCGGGUCUGCAGUCGAUACGAGCAAACUAGAGUGUUGCAGGGGAGACUGGAAUUCCUGGUGUAGCGGUGAAAUGCGUAGAUAUGUGGAGGAACACCGGUGGCGAAGGCGGGUCUACUGGACGAUACUGACGCUGAGACGACGAAGCGUGGGGAGCAAACAGGAUUAAGAUACC